rnacentral:lncRNA from 1 species
CACCAUCAUAUGGCAUCUUGGGAAGUGUGCAUAGAGAGGAGAGUCCUUCUACUUUAAGACUCUUCCUUUCCCAUGCAUUGGCAUUUAUUCUACGUAGAAAUCGAGUUGGUCCUGCAUAAGAAUACUUAGCACCAAGGGUUGUUUCACAUGCCCCUUCUUAUCUUAUAAAUAAGGGGACGCAAAUGGAAUUGGCAUGCAAUUUGAGUGGAUUUGGAAGAGAUCUUAGGUGUGGGUUUUGAAAAGAAAGAAAA